CUUCCGUAGGUGAACCUGCGGAAGGAUCAUUAUUGAAUGAAUGUAGAGUUGGUUGUCGCUGGCCUUUAUUGGCAUGUGCACGCCUUCUCUUUCAUCCACACACACCUGUGCACCUGUGAGACGGAGAGCUUUGCCCUUUUAUUGGGGUGUUUUUCUCCGUCUGCCAAUACAUAAACUCAUAUAAUAAUUUGAAUGUAAUUGAUGUAACGCAUCUAUAAACUAAGUUUCAACAACGGAUCUCUUGGCUCUCGCAUCGAUGAAGAACGCAGCGAAAUGCGAUAAGUAAUGUGAAUUGCAGAAUUCAGUGAAUCAUCGAAUCUUUGAACGCACCUUGCGCUCCUUGGUAUUCCUUGGAGCAUGCCUGUUUGAGUAUCAUGAAAUUAUCAAAACAUUACCUUUUGUUAAUUCAAUUGGUUUUGUUUUGGACUUGGAGGUUUUGCGGAUUCACGUCUGCUCCUCUUAAAAAUAUUAGCUGGAUCUCAGUAAGCUUGGUUCCACUCGGCGUGAUAAGUAUCACUCGCUGAGGACACCCGUAAAAAAGGUGGCCAGGAUUGCAGAUGAACCGCUUCUAAUAGUCUAUUAAAUUGGACAAACAUACUUUAUGAUCUGAUCUCAAAUCAGGUAGGACUACCCGCUGAACUUAAGCAU
rnacentral:sRNA from 1 species